GACCUAGACAGAUCUCAAAAAUGGGAGACCACAUGCAAAGGAAACUACGUUUUCACAACACAUGGUUGGAGAGGUCAAAGAAAAUGUGAUGUAUUACUUUCAGUUUUAUCAUCAGCGGGACCAUCUGGGGCUAGUGGUGGGGCUCGAAGAAGGAAGAAGAAAAUAAAGAAGAGAAUCAGAUCCCCAAAGUAGAGAGACUGAAUUACAGCAAUGACCUCGACUUGCAUUUACUAGACAAGGACAUUGAGGCUCAGUAAGGUGAGAUGACUUGCUCCAGAUCACACAGGGUUGAAGCUGAAAUUUUAAUCUAGAGUCCAGUUCCAGAAUCUGUGCUUAUAAACUGUGCUGUGCUGUAUUUGCUUUAAGAAUAUAAGGGUCAUUUCCUGCUUGAAUAAUCAAGGAAGGCAUGAUGGAAAAGUUAGGGGCAUCAUAAAACCCAAAGACAAUUCUGAUCAUAUUUUUACUUCAACACUUCUACAGGAAAGAAAGCCUUCCCAUCACUAAUAGUGAGUUCUCUGGCAGCAAGCCUCAGUCAUUGCAGCAGGAAUACUGCUUAAAUAUUAUACUGGUAUGUGUGGGGUAAUUUGAAGUCUACCAUCCAUCACCAUCACCACCAAACCUAAUGUAUGAGUUGCCUAUUCCUUCCCGGGAUAGCACACUGCACUACUGAGGAUCACUGUUCUAUGGAAGUAGUUUUCAAACUUGAGCAUGCAUAAAAAGAAGAGCGAAGAGGCUUGUUAAAUACAGCUCUCUUUCAGCAGGUCUGGGGUACUUACUACUAAUGAGCAGUUUUUAGGAAGCAUCCUAGAUGAUUCCGUGUAUCCAGGUGGGCCACAGAAACAUUUGCAAAAACAUUACAUCGGAGCCAUUGUUGACUAUCCCUAAUCUGUAAGAAGCCAAUAGUCAUCGAGACCCAAUGGAGCAAUGCAGCAGAAUGGGGGAAGCCCAGGGGGCAGAGUGAGGGCAUCACCAGGGCAGUGAUUGCAUUUGCAACCCAUUCUUGCCAAAGAGAAAUUCGGAAGCACACUUCAAGGAACUAAGUUCAGUGAUAAUCACACUUGAUUGAUUUUCAGUACUGUCACAGUUUGAGAACUAUUUAUUGCCCUGAUUUGCUCUUUUCUCUGCCCUGUAUUAAAGAUCUUGCAUGACAGUUGAUCCAUGAAAUCUUCUUUGGUCUUUGCUUAACAUUAAAAUUUUCCCUUUACUUCUUAA
ensembl:lncRNA novel transcript